ensembl:lncRNA
CGGAUGGAAGAGAGAAGGAAACGGAAGGCACGGGAGUAGGAGAACCAGGAAAAGCGGCGGAAGAAGGCAACCGAGUGGAGAAGCAUGAGAGAGAAGAAAGCGAGGGAGGAGUGUUGGAGAAGAAGACGGUGGAAGAGCAAGUGGACUGGGGGAAAAAGAAGACGGUGGAAGAGCAAGUGGACUGGGGGGAAAGUGCCCUGGUGGAAGAGAUGAGGGGUAUGGUGGAGGAGCUGGCGGGGGGGGAGGGUGGUAUCUCUCCACUGCCGCCAUCACCAAAGAAGAGAAUGAAGAGGAGGGUGCGAUUGGCCGACAGUGAGAGGGAGGGGAUGGCCAAGAGAGUGAUGGGGGUGGGAGAAACCUCUGGGUUGCUGCUGGUUUCCCCAGGCCCUCAACUUCUGUUGGGUGGGGACACACAUAACAAGACUCAAGACUGGGUACAGGAGGAGGUGGGGAGUUUUUUGUUUGGGGACUCCCCGAUUUUUUUCCAAACCAGCUGCAGCACUGGGGAGGGGGAGGAG